rnacentral:rRNA from 1 species
UGCGUAGGUGGUCUGUUAAGUCGGAUGUGAAAUCCCCGGGCUCAACCUGGGAAUGGCAUCUGAUACUGGCGGACUUGGAGUCUUGGAGAGGGUGGUGGAAUUCCUGGUGUAGCGGUGAAAUGCGUAGAGAUCAGGAGGAACACUAGUGGCGAAGGCGGCCACCUGGCCAAAGACUGACGCUGAGGCACGAAAGCGUGGGGAGCAAACAGGAUUAGAUACCCUGGUAGUCCACGCCCUAAACGAUGAUCACUGGACGUUGGGAGGAAUUGGCCUCUUAGUGUCGAAGCUAACGCGUGAAGUGAUCCGCCUGGGGAGUACGCUCGCAAGAGUGAA